rnacentral:rRNA from 1 species
UACGGAGGGUGCAAGCAUUAAUCGGAAUUACUGGGCGUAAAGGGCGCGUAGGCGGAUGAAUAAGUCAGAUGUGAAAUUCUGGGGCUCAACCUCAGAGCUGCAUUUGAAACUGUUUGUCUAGAGGGUAGAAGGGGAGAACGGAAUUCCACGUGUAGCGGUGAAAUGCGUAGAUAUGUGGAAGAACACCGGUGGCGAAGGCGGUUCUCUAUUUUAUACCUGACGCUGAGGCGCGAAAGCAAGGGGAUCAAACAGG